rnacentral:rRNA from 1 species
GACGAACGCUGGCGGCGUGCUUAACACAUGCAAGUCGAACGCUGAAGCUCAGCUUUUGUUGGGUGGAUGAGUGGCGAACGGGUGAGUAACACGUGAGUAACCUGCCCCCUUCUUUGGGAUAACGCCCGGAAACGGGUGCUAAUACUGGAUAUUCACUGGCUUUCGCAUGGGGGUUGGUGGAAAGGUUUUUCUGGUGGGGGAUGGGCUCGCGGCCUAUCAGCUUGUUGGUGGGGUGAUGGCCUACCAAGGCUUUGACGGGUAGCCGGCCUGAGAGGGUGACCGGUCACAUUGGGACUGAGAUACGGCCCAGACUCCUACGGGAGGCAGCAGUGGGGAAUAUUGCACAAUGGGCGAAAGCCUGAUGCAGCGACGCCGCGUGAGGGAUGGAGGCCUUCGGGUUGUAAACCUCUUUCGCUCAUGGUCAAGCCGCAGCUUUGGGUUGUGGUGAGGGUAGUGGGUAAAGAAGCGCCGGCUAACUACGUGCCAGCAGCCGCGGUAAUACGUAGGGCGCUAUCGUUGUCCGGAAUUAUUGUGGCGUAAAGGGCUUGUAGGCGGUUGGUCGCGUCUGCCGGGAAAAUCCUCUGGCUUAACUGGGGCGUGCGGUGGGUACUGUUUGACUUUGAUUGCUGUGGGGGAGACUUGUAACUGUCUGGUGUAGCGUUGGAAUGCGCAGAUAUCAUGAAGAUCACCGGUGGCUGAAGGCGGGUCUCUGGGCCUUUACUGUACGCUGAUAGUGGAAGCGUGGUGAUCGAACAGGAUUUGAGCCCUGUUAGUGCUGUGGCGAGUUGCACAGUGGAUUCAUGCUUAUUGUUCCUUCUGAUGUGUGUGAGUACCUGUCUCUGCUGUGUUCUGUUUAGUGAGGUUUAUUACGC